GUUUGAUUCUGGCUCAGGACGAACGCUGGCGGCGUGCCUAAUACAUGCAAGUCGAACGAACUCUGGUAUUGAUUGGUGCUUGCAUCAUGAUUUACAUUUGAGUGAGUGGCGAACUGGUGAGUAACACGUGGGAAACCUGCCCAGAAGCGGGGGAUAACACCUGGAAACAGAUGCUAAUACCGCAUAACAACUUGGACCGCAUGGUCCGAGCUUGAAAGAUGGCUUCGGCUAUCACUUUUGGAUGGUCCCGCGGCGUAUUAGCUAGAUGGUGGGGUAACGGCUCACCAUGGCAAUGAUACGUAGCCGACCUGAGAGGGUAAUCGGCCACAUUGGGACUGAGACACGGCCCAAACUCCUACGGGAGGCAGCAGUAGGGAAUCUUCCACAAUGGACGAAAGUCUGAUGGAGCAACGCCGCGUGAGUGAAGAAGGGUUUCGGCUCGUAAAACUCUGUUGUUAAAGAAGAACAUAUCUGAGAGUAACUGUUCAGGUAUUGACGGUAUUUAACCAGAAAGCCACGGCUAACUACGUGCCAGCAGCCGCGGUAAUACGUAGGUGGCAAGCGUUGUCCGGAUUUAUUGGGCGUAAAGCGAGCGCAGGCGGUUUUUUAAGUCUGAUGUGAAAGCCUUCGGCUCAACCGAAGAAGUGCAUCGGAAACUGGGAAACUUGAGUGCAGAAGAGGACAGUGGAACUCCAUGUGUAGCGGUGAAAUGCGUAGAUAUAUGGAAGAACACCAGUGGCGAAGGCGGCUGUCUGGUCUGUAACUGACGCUGAGGCUCGAAAGUAUGGGUAGCAAACAGGAUUAGAUACCCUGGUAGUCCAUACCGUAAACGAUGAAUGCUAAGUGUUGGAGGGUUUCCGCCCUUCAGUGCUGCAGCUAACGCAUUAAGCAUCCG
rnacentral:rRNA from 1 species